CCCUUAGAUGUUCUGGGCCGCACGCGCGCUACACUGACGAAUGCAACGAGCUUAUAACCUUGGCCGAAAGGUCUGGGUAAUCUCCAAAUUUCGUCGUGAUGGGGAUAGAUUAUUGCAAUUAUUAAUCUUCAACGAGGAAUGCCUAGUAAGCGCAAGUCAUCAGCUUGCGUUGAUUACGUCCCUGCCCUUUGUACACACCGCCCGUCGCUCCUACCGAUUGAAUGGUCCGGUGAAGCGUUCGGACCGUGGCCUUUGGACGGUUCGCCGUCUGUUGGCUGCGGGAAGUUCGUUAAACCUUAUCAUUUAGAGGAAGGAGAANUCGUAACA
rnacentral:rRNA from 1 species